UAUAUCUUCACUCACCAACUUUGUGCAUUUUUAUUUUACCCUUCGCCACGCUCGCGGCAGUGGCCCCCCCCUUCCCUUCCCUUCCCUCUUUCCUCAUCUCCUUUUGUCUGCUUAAUUUUAUUUCGCUCCUUCCUCAUACGCCGCCCCCCUCACCUCACCUCCACCUCCGCCUCCCUUUCUAGUUGCGUUCUCUCCCUUUUUCUGUUCGCUCUAUUGGCCCUUCAACGCCCUGCCAUGGUCUUAUGGCGAGAGAGGCCAAUAACGCGCAAGAGCAAAACGGCAUGAUUUCAUUGGCACCCACAGACGCAUUUUAUUCCACCUGAUACCACUCAUCUCCUCCCCCCCUCUCUCUGUGUGUGUGUUUCGUGUGCCUUCCGCGCUCCGGAUUGCGCCACAUCUUCUUUGUUGUGUCUUUGGUUUCUUCUUGUAGAGUCUAGAGGGUGCUGACCGGCACCGAAAGCAGAUACACUCCGACAGCGAAGGGCGCAGAGUCCAGCGCCCAAGGGCUGGAGGGCGAACGUAGUUCGCUUCCUUUAACGCGCACAAGGAAAGACACCGCGGACGUUUUGUCCGGCUGACUUUGGCGGCGUCGGCGUUCCUGCUUUGCAAGCCCUAAUGCUCAACACGAGGGUGCAACGCCCACCGCCGCCGCGUCGCGCGCCGCCGGCUGCUGCCAUGAUCAAAGAUGUGAGUCCCGACGCGUACAUCUCCACCCACGUCAUCCUCCGUCUGAGCGGCGCCGCCGUAAUCUCGCAGCAGCUGCUACAGGUGAAGGACUGGGUGAGCGACAUCAAAAUGGCUGUGACCACCGCUGAUGACGCCCUCAAAGCAAUCUCGACAAACCCGGCUGUACAGCCACCGUCGCUGAGUGACGGCGCCACCACUGGCGGCGAUGAUGUGCAGUCGCUUGCCUUCGCCUCCGUGGCCCUCUCAAAGCUGGCCGAGGAGGAGGAGACACAGGAUGCGUUCUACGCGAAGCUCAGCGAGACGGCCUUUGUGCGUGCAGAGGUCCAGAUGGGGUCUCAAGAUGCGAGGCUGCAGCGGUACAAGCAGCAGGUGGAGUGUCAGCUGGCCUCCUCCAUGGCAGACGGCCUAUUGCCACCGCAGCAGCGCAAGAACAGCGUGCCGCCGGAGAAACGUCAGAUGCUGCUGAAUCCUUACAGCACCGUGCGCCGCAAGCUACCCAACACCGCCUCGAAUGGGAACAGCGCCCUGCCAUCCGCCAAUACGCCGAUGCCGCCGACCAUAACCAGCCCAUACCGCACCUCGACCUCUAGCGCCGUGCCGUCACCGCAGUCGCCGUCUUACAGCACACCCGCCGCCGUUAACGGCGGAUACACUAGCUACUCUCCCCACUCCUCUGAUGCGGCAGGGUCGCCGAGUCGGGCGACCGCGCGCUACGGUGCGACGGCUACACAGCAGCCAUUGACGCACGGGGCGCACGGCCACCGGCGUCCUCUGCGGCGAGGAAACGCUAUCGCUGGCAUGCACUUUGGACAGCCGCCGCAGCCACUGCAUCAGAAUCACCAGCAAAGCAGCCGGCCGCACUACCAAGCCUUGUAGAUUUGUUGAAAGGAGUGCGAGAGCGAGGCGAGCGGUGGAGGUUGAGAGGGUGCGCGCGCCGGCGUUUCUGCAAGCGUGUAUGCGGCUCAUGUGCUCCGACAACGGAGUGAUGUUAUAAUGUUGGUUAGCAGAGGCAGGAGCGACAGGAGGGUCUAUCAGGAAAGAGCUGCGCUGGCUAUGAAUGGGAGGGGGUGGAGGAAGAGGAGAGGACAGUGAAAAAAGGAGGAUAUGCACAGGCGCAUGGGUCGUGUGCAAGCCACACCUGGGCUCUGUUGGAUAUGCAGAGCCUGCCCUGGCAUCGCCCCCCUUCUUUUCGCACUGCCGAUCUCUUUCUCUUUGGUGCUUACACGGUAGAUCGUGCUAUGGCGAGGAGAUGCGGAGCAUCCUGGCACGAGUUGCCGCGGGAUUCUCGCUCUCCCCUUUCGCUUCUCCCCUCUGCCCUCCACCCUUCCCUUUUUUUCGUCUGCGCGUGUUCUCGUUUUUGUUUUUCUUCUGAGCCCCUUUUCAGCGCUCGAAUCGUUGUUCCGUUGCUGACUACCGCUCC
rnacentral:misc_RNA from 1 species